ACUUAAGUUUAAAAAAGCGUUUGUGAACUUUUUUUGAGAAAUCCGCUGAACUAGUCACUCAGCCCACAAAACAUAAAUUCGGACUAGUCCCCCUUUAAGAAAAUCCCACACCGCAGCAGCCCAGCCCACAUCCCUUCACUCUGCACUCUCUGUGUUCGUCAUUCUUUCUUUUUCCCAGUCGUCUUCCUCCUCCUGCGCCUGUAUCCUAAUAAAUCUUCUUCAUCUUCUUAUCAGAUGAAUCGGUUUUUCCAUGACCAGAUGGGGAGCUGGUUGCCCAGAAACAUGUUCAAUUCAUUCUCUCAGUCGAAAAGAAGAGGGACUCUUUGGAGGCUGUGGCAAUGGAGCAUCCAAGAAUGAAUGGGGAAUAUUGGUGUUUAACAAUUCUUGAUCUCCUCGGAAAGCUUCAGGCGGUCGAUGUUGAUGAGGUGGGUUCGAAGGUAACAUUGGGCACGAGCCACAUGUACAAUACACCUUAAGUGCCGUGCAGGUUUUGGCCUUAUUUAACAAGAUUGAUGUUCUGGAUGCUGACAAGGUUGUCUUAUAUUGCUAUAUCGUGUCUCUCAUUACUACAUCGUUUGGAUAAAAUCAGUGUGGAGAAGGCCGUGAACUAUAGUGUAACUUGUAAAAAUCAUGUUGGUGGAUUUGGAUGCACACCUGGUGGGAAGUCUCAUGCAGGUCAAAGUAUGUUACUUACCAUAUAGUAUGCGUAUGAAGCCUUAGUUUCUGAUUUGUUGUUUCCUUUUUUCACUCUUCAAUGGAAAUAGUAGUCAUCCUUGCAUUGCAUCUCUUUUGAAUGGAACUGAUCUUCACUGUAACUUACGGGGUCCUGAGAAGGCAAUGCCAGAAUAACUGAUCUUUGAUGAAAUAUCAGUCAAACUCCCAUGUGUAAGGAAAUAUUCUUAAUCUUGCUUAAACGAUCCACAUUUGAUCCGGGAAUGGCAUAUUUAUUCAGUUAUACUAUCUGGAUGACAAAAUUAGACUCAUUUAAACUUUGUUCUGCCCGUGUCGACUGCAGUUUUCUGUUGUGUGGGUGCUCUUGCUAUUAUGGGGUCUCUUCAUCGUAUUGAUAAGACCUUCUUGGGUGGUGGUUAUGUCAGCAGCAAGUUAAUUCUGGAGACAUUCUUAACAAAGCAAAAGUUAAACCUGGCGGCCUUAAUGGCCGUCCAGAAAAAAUUCAUGAUGUUGGGUUUUUUUUGUUUUGUUUUGUUUUGUUUUUUUUUAAAUUGAAACAAUUUUGCUUCAGUUAGCAUUCUUGUACACUUCCUUACUGCAUUUACACUUUGUUUCAGAUCUGGUACUCAUGGUGGGUUCUUUCUAGUUUGGUCAUCAUUGACAGAGUUCAUUGGAUUGGUAAGGAAAAGCUUGUCAAGUUCGUUUUAGACUGCCAGGUUAGGUUACCCUAACAAGCUAUAUGUACAUUUGGGUUAUCCCUGUUAUCUUAUUUCCAGAAUGCAAUGCUAUUCGUGCAACUACUGAUUUAUCUGAGAUGUUGUGGCUAAUAUCAUUGAAUAUUGCAGGACAUUGAAAAUGGAGGAAUUUCUGACAGACCAGAUGACACUGUUGAUGUCUACCAUACAUACUUUGCUGUAGCUGGAUUUUCCCUUCUUCAAUAUCCCGGGGUGAAAGCCAUAGAUCCAGCUUAUGCUUUACCAGUUGAUGUUGUGAAUAGGAUUACCUUGGGCAAAUAAAGGUUUGUUCUUGCUGCAAUUGAAUACCUUUUUGCUCUCUUAUAAUGUCACAAUUGCUAGUCCCUAUUGUGUUUAGUUUGAUGGCUCAAUUCAGCUACUUUAAAAAACAAUGUACCGCGUUUUACAUAAUUCAGCUACUUUAUGUUUUGCAAUACCCCCAGAAACUAGACUUCGAUCCCACUUUCUUCCCCGAAACUCAAAUUUCACCACUUUACACCUUGGAACUUAAUUUUUGUUCCACUUUGCUAUUUUCCGUCAAAAUACCACUCUCGUCUUUUCUCAAAACCUUUAUAUACCCGAGCACGAGCCUGCCCUUUUUUCUACUUAAAAGACCCUACUCUCUCUCUCUCUCUUAGAAAGAAACAGGAUACCGUGUUGGAAGUUUAGAUAGACGGGCCUGGAGGGACACCGAUACUGUUUCCAACUUGGUACUUACCACCUGCCCAAUCCGUCAGAUGUGAGGUUUUAUCACAAAAGACCUUGGUAUUAGUUAGAGUGGGACUAGUGGUGCUUGACGAAAAUGCUGAAAAAGAUCCAAGGUGCCUUCUACUCUUGUAAUUUGGAGCUUGAAGCUGUUGAAAUGUUAAUGAUUUAUGUAUAUAAUUGUAGGGCACAACCGUAUACUCUUGUGUACUUGUUCAGUAAUAUGACUCAAUUAACUACUUAAUCAGCAGAGAUUGAGGAUUAAUAAAGUUUUGAUUUUUGAUUGACGCA